UACGAAGGGGGCUAGCGUUGUUCGGAAUUACUGGGCGUAAAGCGCACGUAGGCGGAUCGAUCAGUCAGGGGUGAAAUCCCAGGGCUCAACCCUGGAACUGCCUUUGAUACGUGUGGGCUUGAGUGAGGAAGAGGGUUGUGGAAUUCCCAGUGUAGAGGUGAAAUUCGUAGAUAUUGGGAAGAACACCGGUGGCGAAGGCGGCAACCUGGUCCUUUACUGACGCUGAGGCGCGAAAGCGUGGGGAGCAAACAGG
rnacentral:rRNA from 1 species